GCAACGAGCGCAACCCUUGCCUUUAGUUGCCAGCAGUUCGGCUGGGCACUCUAAAGGGACUGCCGGUGUUAAACCGGAGGAAGGUGGGGAGUGACGUCAAGUCCUCAUGGCCUUUAUGACCAGGGCUACACACGUACUACAAUGGCCGAUACAAAGGGCAGCGACACUGCGAGGUGAAGCCAAUCCCGUAAAAAUCGGUCUCAGUCCGGAUUGGAGUCUGCAACUCGACCCCAUGAAGUUGGAAUCGCUAGUAAUCGUGGAUCAGCAUGCCACGGUGAAUACGUUCCCGGGCCUU
rnacentral:rRNA from 1 species